UACGUAGGGUGCGAGCGUUAAUCGGAAUUACUGGGCGUAAAGCGUGCGCAGGCGGUUUUGUAAGUCUGACGUGAAAUCCCCGGGCUCAACCUGGGAAUUGCGAUGGAGACUGCAAGGCUGGAGUCUGGCAGAGGGGGGUAGAAUUCCACGUGUAGCAGUGAAAUGCGUAGAGAUGUGGAGGAACACCGAUGGCGAAGGCAGCCCCCUGGGUCAAGACUGACGCUCAUGCACGAAAGCGUGGGGAGCAAACAGG
rnacentral:rRNA from 1 species